rnacentral:rRNA from 1 species
AUGCACAUGCUCAAGGCGUUUAGAGAUUGCCUUGACGACUGUGAGCUACAUGAUAUGGACUAUAUUGGGGAUAAAUACACCUGGAGACGCGCUGAUGUUCGUGAGCGACUGGACCGUGCUGUGUGUAGUACACAAUGGACAUCAGAUUAUCCCAAUAUAGCAGUCAUCCACGAGAAGCAUUACAGGUCUGACCAUAGGCCUAUUUUGGUUGACACGGAAUUUUAUAAAACUGGCCAGAUUAGGCGUCGUUCUGGCAGGAGAAAAUUUGAAGCUAGAUGGUUAUCUAAAGAUACUGUAGACGAUGUGGUUGCUACUGCAUGGGCGAAGGAAAAUCUGAGAGGUUUGGGUCAAAGUUUGGCUUCACAAACCCAUGCGGUACACAAUGACCUUCAUAGUUGA